CCUACGGGGAGCAGCAGUGAGGAAUAUUGGUCAAUGGCCGCAGGGCUGAACCAGCCAAGUCGCGUGAGGGAUGACGGUCCUAUGGAUUGUAAACCUCUUUUGUCAGGGAGCAAAGGGCGCCACGUGUGGCGCUUUGCGAGUACCUGAAGAAAAAGCAUCGGCUAACUCCGUGCCAGCAGCCGCGGUAAUACGGAGGAUGCGAGCGUUAUCCGGAUUUAUUGGGUUUAAAGGGUGCGCAGGCGGAAUGUCAAGUCAGCGGUAAAAUUUCGGGGCUCAACCCCGUCGUGCCGUUGAAACUGGCGUUCUUGAGUGAGCGAGAAGUAUGCGGAAUGCGUGGUGUAGCGGUGAAAUGCAUAGAUAUCACGCAGAACUCCGAUUGCGAAGGCAGCAUACCGGCGCUCAACUGACGCUCAUGCACGAAAGCGUGGGUAUCGAACAGGAUUAGAUACCCCAGUAGUC
rnacentral:rRNA from 1 species